UUUUAUGGGUGAGCAAAGAAAGUGGUUUCUUGAGCUAGAAUCUACUUCUUGUAAAGAUGCUGAAAA
rnacentral:pre_miRNA from 2 species